rnacentral:rRNA from 1 species
UGCGUAGGUGGUUAGGUAAGUCGGAUGUGAAAGCCCAAGGCUCAACUUUGGAACUGCAUCCGAUACUGCUUGACUAGAGUGCAGGAGGGGAGAGCGGAAUUCUUGGUGUAGCGGUGAAAUGCGUUGAUAUCAAGAAGAACACCGGUGGCGAAGGCGGCUCUCUGGAAUGUUACUGACACUGAGGCACGAAAGUUGGGGGAGCAAACAGGAUUAGAUACCCGAGUAGUCC